GCCGAACGAACAGAAUCUCCUCUGUUCGCCCAAGGCUCAACAACGACAACAAACAUGUAUAAAGAAAUGCCCAUAAAAAAUUUCAAUAUACAUGGCUUGCACGAGGGCAAGCAACACAAGCACAAGUGAAAGUAAACUAACUAAAUAUUUCAUACAAUGUAUCUUGAUUACUUUAAAUCAAAUACAAAGCUUACAAAUUAUUACACACAUUCUGUAAUUUUCUCAUUCUUAUAAUCCAACCAUGCACUUCUAAUACUGUUUCCAAAUUACUUAUCUAGUAAUUACAUAGUUUCUCCUUUAAAGUACACAGAACU
rnacentral:lncRNA from 1 species